GUCUGCUGUAUGCUGUUGCCAGAAGAGGUUGUCUGUGUUGAGCAGGGUGCUCAGCUCUCCACGAGAUGCUAAAUAUCUACUGAGGUUAGAGACUUUUUGAGGUAAAGAGGAGCAUCUCAUCUGAACCUGAUGUCUAUCAUGGAUAUUUAACUGCAGUACUGUGAGUAUCCCAACUUAACCAUGAAGAUGAACUGCAAACUGUAAGUCAUUAAUAUCUCAUUACUCUUGGGCACAUUGAUGUGUUUUGGCUUCCUGGUGAGUUAACCUGUUACCUGAAGGUUGAUCUGCGUAGUAAGGAUGUUUUAUUGGUUCAUGGGUUACUUAGGUGUUUGGUUUAUGUUGGUUUUAAUGAUUUGUUAAAAUGGUUACAGGCUCCAAGUUAUUGUUGUAAGCUGGAGCAAUGGGUUGGGUUCUGACAUCUGCAGUCUUCUUUCAUUCUACUCUCUUGAGCUCUGCAUCUUCAUCCCAUGAGUGUUGCUUUACGGAUGAGGGUGAGGUCUGAGUGAGCAGAGUUGCAUACUGGGAUACAGAGCUGUCUGAAGUCUACAGGUCUGUAGACACGCCCCCUCAGGGGAAACGGAGUGUUUGAGAAUCUGUCCUGACGUCAGUUACAUGGACUGGAAUGUUCUUAAAGAUGGAGACAGGGAUUCAGAACGAGAAACACCAGGGGGAGAUGAGGGGACUCCUCAUCUCAACGGCUAAAACACAACUUCAGUCUGACACAGAGAACCAUGGAUCACAUUCAACAGUCCCCUCCAGGCAUCGUGACUCCUCAGGAAGGUUUCAUUUCUAAGGUCUUAUUUGGGGCCAUCCCCAUAUGGAUCCUGCUCCUCAAGAGCCACCCCCCUCCACUGGGUGGUCUUCUGAACAGAUGACCUCCUUCCUGUCCUCAGGCUGACUAAAGCUGCACCGUUUGCGUCUGUGAAGGCCCCUCAUUCAGGAAACCACUUGACUACAAAGACAUGACUUCAGAGAUGUUGAAUCAACCUGGGACAUAUUUUGGAGACGCAAAGCAUAAUCCAUCACCAAUGUGGGACGCCACUGAAGAAUGUUGUGCAUAAUUUACAUCUCUGGAGAAAUUGGUUGUUCUGUUAUGGGUGCCCUGGCAGGAGGCCUGGGGAGGGGAGGGGGGGGGGGAUGAUGGAAUGUUAUUUGGCAUGAGGUUUUUACCCUGCAUGAUUGUUUGGCCUUUUAUGGCUCAGGUGUGUGUGUGUGUCAUGAGAUGGAAGAUUUUUGAGGGUUCUACUGUGUCUCCCACUCACACCUGGCAUAGGGUUCUACAUGCCUGGCCUAGGUUCUAUGUGUGUGUCCGGCUUGCUUUGACCGUGAUAAUGUUCAUACGGGGGUCUGUGUGAUUGGCUUGGGAUAUUGGAAUGUUCAACUAAAUCAUACCUGAUGGAUGACCACACGUUAACUUAAGGGCCUCCAGUAGGCAUGAAGAGCCCUGAGCGACGCUCCGGAGUGAGAUCCAACACACUGGGCAGGAAGGAGAGUAUCCAACUCGAGUGUAAAAGGAUGCAAGCGGCGUGUUCAGAUCAGUGACUUCAAAUUAGGACUACACCAAUCGGGAUCAAUGGAGGAUUGACACAAAGGAAUUCCACAAGGAGAGUCUGACGUUGGAAAGGGACCUAAAUGGAUUUUCAAGAUGACCUUCAGACCUGUAAUGAGACGGCUCUUCCUACCUGACCGGAUUGAUGGAGAGCCCUGUGGAAACCUUCACUGGGGCUUCAAGGUAUAAAGAGGAAAAUGUUUCCAUGGUACU